GGCCAAUGUGGUAGCAGCGCAUUUGCUUUUCUCCCAGCCUGGUUUCUGAGAGCUAAUUCCCUUGGCCAGUUCAUCCUCCAAGUUGAAGUGCCAGUGGAAAGCACGUGACCUAGGAGGAUGGGCUUUGGAGUCUGAAAGUCUGGAAGCAGCAUUCAUAUCUGAGAGAGAC
rnacentral:lncRNA from 1 species